rnacentral:rRNA from 1 species
AUUGAACGCUGGCGGCAGGCCUAACACAUGCAAGUCGAACGAGUGGCGGACGGGUGAGUAAUGUCUGGGAAACUGCCUGAUGGAGGGGGAUAACUACUGGAAACGGUAGCUAAUACCGCAUACCAUCGGAUGUGCCCAGAUGGGAUUAGCUAGUAGGUGGGGUAAAGGCUCACCUAGGCGACGAUCCCUAGCUGGUCUGAGAGGAUGACCGGCCAAACUGGAACUGAGACACUGGCCAGACUCCUACGUGAGGCAGCAGUGGGGAAUAGUGCGCAAUGGGCGCAAGCCUGAUGCAGCCAGGCCGCGGGUAGGAAGAAGGCCUUCGGGUUGUAAAGUACUUUCAGCGGGGAGGCGUUACCCGCAGAAGAAGCACCGGCUAACUCCGUGCCAGCAGCCGCGUUAAUAC